rnacentral:rRNA from 1 species
AGGACGAACGCUGGCGGCGUGCUUAACACAUGCAAGUCGAGCGGUAAGGCCUUUCGGGGUACACGAGCGGCGAACGGGUGAGUAACACGUGGGUGAUCUGCCCUGCACUCUGGGAUAAGCCUGGGAAACUGGGUCUAAUACCGGAUAUGACCUGCUCUCGCAUGGGGGUGGGUGGAAAGAUUUAUCGGUGCAGGAUGGGCCCGCGGCCUAUCAGUCUUGUGGGUAGGUANCGGACC